UACGGGGGGGGCAAGCGUUGUUCGGAAUUACUGGGCGUAAAGGGCACGUAGGCGGCUUUUUAAGUCAGGGGUGAAAUCCUGGAGCUCAACUCCAGAACUGCCUUUGAUACUGGGAAGCUUGAGUCCGGGAGAGGUGAGUGGAACUCCGAGUGUAGAGGUGAAAUUCGUAGAUAUUCGCAAGAACACCAGUGGCGAAGGCGGCUCACUGGCCCAUAACUGACGCUGAGGCACGAAAGCGUGGGGAGCAAACAGG
rnacentral:rRNA from 1 species